AAUGUUCCCUUCUCCUUCUUCAUCACGACGUGCGCCCCCCUCCCUCGAAAUUUUCCUUCUCGUUGCCUUCAACCCAUCGCCCAGUCACUUGAUCUCCUCAGCCGCUCGUCCAGACCGCCGCUGCCCGAGCCUAGUAGCCGAUCUCCACUGCUACUCGCCGUCGAUCUCGACCAGCCAUCCAAUCGCCUCGAUCUUUUUUGUCGCUCGUCCAGACCGCCGUUGAUCCGAGCUUGCCGCUCCACCCAGCCUCACGCUGUCCCAACCACGCUCGUCUGCGCUGCCUUAUCUACACCGUCGCGUCUGCGGCGCUUUCUUCGGAUGAAGCCGCCGCUCUUCUAGAUCCACCACCACUUCUCCGUCCAGCCAGCCGUCGGUCCGAACUCUAUCGUGCGCCAUCCAGCCCCUACAGCUGCCGUGGUUGCCGUCGAAUCUGCUUUGGUCUUAGGUCAAAGUUUUGAGAGGGAUUUGCACUGCUGUCCGUCCAGCUCGAGGCAAGAUUGGACAAGAAAUUUUUAUAAGGUUCUAAGUCAUCGUCUAUUGGAAUUAAAAUAUGAUUAAGGGAAGAUUUUGAAGUUGAAAUCUUGGAAGUGUUUGUUGAUCAAGCUUUGUUUGGGGGAAUUAAUUCAGGAUUUAUUUUGAUAACGACUAUUUGCUUGGAUUAAUUUUGGACUUUCGAUUCGAGGUAAGUAAUCUUACUAUUGGAACUGCCCACGGGCCAUACACUAGAUAUAUACCAGCAUGAUAGAUGAAUAUUAUGACAGAACAAUAGCUUGAUAGAUGGAUAUUAUAGUAGACUCGAUAUAUGUUCUUGUAUGAGAAGCUAAAAGAUUUAUUUGUGCACGUAGAUACUUGCAUACUAGUAAUUGAUGAUACUUGAUUCACUGAUAUUGUAUUUGAAUAUUGAGGCAUAUAUGCAUGUUGUAUAGCCAUGAUGUGGAGGUGUAUACGUAUGUUAUAAAACCAUAUUGUGAUAAUUGUGAUUUUGAGACUGUGAUAGUGUCUUUACUGAUUAGUUAGAUGCCAACCAGAUAUUGUGUUUCCUUCGGGAUUCACCAGAUAUUGUGUUUUCUUCGGGAUUCACUAGGGGUUGUGUUUCCUUCGGGAUUCACCAGGGGUUGUGUGUCC